AGUGGAAUUGCUGGGUCAUAUGGUAACUCUAUGGUCAACUUUUUGAGGGACUGCCAAACUAUUUUCCAAAGUGGCUGCACCAUUUUACAUUCCCACCAGCAAU
rnacentral:pre_miRNA from 1 species